rnacentral:tRNA from 1 species
GUGGCCGUAAUUCAGUGGUUGAAAAAGAGGAUGUGACCCUCUUGACGAUGGUUCAAUUCCAUCCGGUCACCCCA